GAUGAACGCUAGCUACAGGCUUAACACAUGCAAGUCGAGGGGCAGCGAUGGGCUUAGCUUGCUAAGCCCGAUGGCGACCGGCGCACGGGUGAGUAACACGUAUCUAGCCUGCCGAUCACUCCGGUACAGCCUUUCGAAAGAAAGAUUAAUCCCGGAUGGCAUGGCGAUUCCGCAUGGUUUCUCCAUUAAAGGUUUUUCCGGUGGUCGAUGGGGAUGCGUUCCAUUAGGCGGUCGGCGGGGUAACGGCCCACCAAACCUACGAUGGAUAGGGGUUCUGAGAGGAAGGUCCCCCACAUUGAAACUGAGACACGGUCCA
rnacentral:rRNA from 1 species